GAUGAACGCUAGCGGAAUGCUUUACACAUGCAAGUCGAACGGCAGCACGGGUGCUUGCACCUGGUGGCGAGUGGCGAACGGGUGAGUAAUGCACCGGAACGUAUCCAAUAAUGGGGGAUAACGCACCGAAAGGUGUGCUAAUACCGCAUACGCCCUGAGGGGGAAAGCGGGGGAUCGUAAGACCUCGCGUUAAUGGAGCGGCCGAUGCCGGAUUAGCUAGUUGGUGAGGUAAAGGCUCACCAAGGCGACGAUCCGUAGCUGGUCUGAGAGGACGACCAGCCACACUGGAACUGAGACACGGUCCAGACUCCUACGGGAGGCAGCAGUGGGGAAUUUUGGACAAUGGGCGCAAGCCUGAUCCAGCCAUUCCGCGUGAGUGAAGAAGGCCUCGGGUUGU
rnacentral:rRNA from 1 species